UACGGAGGGGGCUAGCGUUGUUCGGAAUUACUGGGCGUAAAGCGCGCGUAGGUGGCUUCGUAAGUCCGUUGUGAAAGUCAAAGGCUCAACCUUUGAAAGCCGAUGGAUACUGUGAAGCUAGAGUACGGAAGAGGCGAGUGGAAUUCCUGGUGUAGCGGUGGAAUGCGCAGAUAUCAGGAGGAACACCAAUAGCGAAGGCAGCUCGCUGGGACGUUACUGACACUGGAGGCGCGAAAGCGUGGGGAGCGAACAGG
rnacentral:rRNA from 1 species